CCGGCUGUUUGUUCCUUUCUAUUGAUGGGUGUAGGAGCUACAGGAAUGGAAAUACUCAAGGUAAUUCUUCACAUGAAGGUUUUAAAGAAUUUACAGUUGGGUCUUUGCAAAGCAGGCAUGUAACACUUGCUAGUCAGGGUGUCAGUAAAGGCGAGUUACCCUUCCUGGAAGAACUUUGAAUGAGAUGCAAAGAGACCCUGGGAACUUGACCAGUCAAUCUUAGAAGUAUGAAGAGAAUGCAGUGGGAGGAAGUGGUGGCCGUGAGUCAGCAUGAGUCAUUCUGUUCCAAUGAGAAUGAAGGCUGACUGAGAGGCACCCUAUUCACAAGGAGGUGGAGCAACAGACUUCUCCCUGAGCUGCUUUGAGGACAAAUUCCCUGUGGAUGGUGAAGUUCUUCAUAAGCUCCUGGUUGUGGAUGACAACAUCAUAUUGAUUGAAUCAAACCUGAGGACAUCACAGGCCCUCCUUGAAGAGAUCUAUAUUUAUCAGAGGAACUUAGCUUGUCUAAUCACACAGGAAAAAUCAAGGAGCUGAAGAAUUUUUCUUGCCAAGAUUUCAACUCACAUUUAGAUGGAUACCCUGCAGCUCUUGCCCAAUGGUAUAAAGAAGAUGAGAGUGGGCUGGAUUGCUUUUAGGAAUUUGAAGAAAAAAAAUAUUGACUUUAAGCUUCUGGUGAAAGGGAAGGAUUUUCAAUGUUAACAUGUUACCAGUCUUACUUUAUGGCAAGAAACAUAAUGCUUUACUGCCUUCAAAGAAAUAAAGAUAAGUUUCACAUAGAAAGCAAUGGAGAAGCCCAUGCUUAGUAUGAGCAGGCUGAAGCAUAUACCCCCAUGAGGAACUCUUAAAAAGUAAAAAAAAAACUCUACAGUAGAUAGAAUGCCAAGCCUGGAAUCAUAUCCAGC